UACAGAGGGGGCAAGCGUUAUUCGGAAUUAUUGGGCGUAAAGGGCGCGUAGGCGGCUACACAAGUGGCGGGUGAAAUCCCUCGGCUUAACCGAGGAACUGCCUGCCAGACUGUGUGGCUUGAGACCGGGAGAGGUGAGUGGAAUUCCCAGUGUAGCGGUGAAAUGCGUAGAUAUUGGGAGGAACACCAGUGGCGAAGGCGGCUCACUGGACCGGAACUGACGCUGAGGCGCGGAAAGCGUGGGGAGCAAACAGG
rnacentral:rRNA from 1 species